CCUACGGGAGGCUGCAGUGGGGAAUAUUGCACAAUGGGGGAAACCCUGAUGCAGCGACGCCGCGUGAAUGAAGAAGUAUCUCGGUACGUAAAGCUCUAUCAGCAGGGAAGAAAAUGACGGUACCUGACUAAGAAGCCCCGGCUAACUACGUGCCAGCAGCCGCGGUAAUACGUAGGGGGCGAGCGUUAUCCGGAUUUACUGGGUGUAAAGGGAGCGUAGACGGCAGCACAAGUCUGGAGUGAAAUCCCGGGGCUUAACCCCGGAACUGCUUUGGAAACUGGUCGGCUGGAGUGCAGGAGGGGUAAGCGGAAUUCCUAGUGUAGCGGUGAAAUGCGUAGAUAUUAGGAGGAACACCGAUGGCGAAGGCGGCUUACUGGACUGUAACUGACAUUGAGGCUCGAAAGCGUGGGGAGCAAACAGGAUUAGAUACCCCUGGAGUC
rnacentral:rRNA from 1 species